GAGUAUACAUGAGAACCAUACUCAAAGUUAGAUGCAAAAGGAGAAUCAUAAUCAUAGGCACAGGCAGAAGAAGUAGUAUGCUCAUAAUCAAAAUAAUUAGACAUGAUGAAAGAAGGGGGAAGGUAGAAAGGAAAUUCUAAAAAUUACGAAACAAACAAAACACAACACAAUUAAACAUGUGACACGCUGUUGGGGCAAAUCGGCAAGUUGUUGACAAAUUGACAAGUGUACCAAAUCGUACAAGUAAUAUAAAUGGUAAGACCAAGUAUCGUUUUCCCAAGAGACUCGAAAGGCUUUCUUGUUCACGUGAAUUAAAAUAAUAAGACUUGAAAAUAAGAAUUAAUAAUUUGGAUUUGAGAGCAAAAAUAUUAACAUGCAAAAUAAAGUUGAUUCAAUUGACAAACGAAAACAAUGGAUGAAUGGAUGUUGUUGGAGGUUUACAAUUUCAUCUAAUCCUCCCUCUCUUAUCUACUCCUCUUGAAUAUUAGUUUGAUUAAUUAAUUGUUAUGCGACUUUCUUAGCCUCCCCUUAACCCGAUCCCUCGGCGAAAAGGACCUAAUAUUAACUAUUGGCUUG
rnacentral:lncRNA from 1 species